rnacentral:rRNA from 1 species
GAAACCGACCUGGCUCACACCGGUUUAAACUCAGAUCAUGUAAAAUUUUAAAGGUCGAACAGACCUCCCUUACUAACUUCUUCGCCAGUAAUUAAUUUUAAUCCAACAUCGAGGUCGCAAUCUAUUUUUCCGAUAAGAACUCUCAAAAUAAUUACGCUGUUUUCCCUAAGGUAAUUUAAUCUUAUAAUCUAAAAUUUAGGAUCAUACAUUUACAAAUAAAUAUUUAAAUAAAAAAAAAGUUAGAUUAAUUUUUUUGUCACCCCAACAAAACACCUAUUUUAAAUCCUAGACAAAACAAACCUAAAGUCCAAAAAAUAAAACACAUGUCAAACUCUAUAGGGUCUUCUCGUCUUCUAUAACACAUUUAAGCUUUUUUACUUAAAAAUAAAAUUCAAAUAAAUUUUAACAGAGACAGCCAUUCUUUCAUUGUACCUUUCAUACAAGCUUCCAAUUAAAAAACUAGUGAUUAUGCUACCUUUGCACGGUCAAUAUACCGCGGCCAUUUAACAUCUCAGUGGGCAGGUCAGACCUAAAAUUAUCUUCAACAGGCC